GAGGCCAAAUCGCCCACAUCGAAAGGUAAAAUCGUUCUAUUUUAAUGUUUUGAUGGGGGUUGAGUGGCAGUGGGGUGGGGCUGGUGUCGGGCUAACCGCGCUGGCUCAGCCAGGCCACCCACCCGCAUAGGAAUCGAGAGGCUUCUUCGAGAAUGGGGAUAGCCGACCCAUUCAGGAAGCCAAAGGGUCUUCCCCGAGCAUGGAAAUCCGAUCCACCAUUUUGGGUUCCGAUUUUUCAUCUAGGAAG
rnacentral:lncRNA from 1 species